CGAUUAUGUGGGCCAGUUUACUUCAGAUGGAUGUAUCCAUUUGAAAGAUACAUGAAGGUGCUUAAGAGUUAUGUAGGCAGUCGAAAACAUCCUGAAGGUUGCAUUGUUCAAAGAUAUUUAGCAGAAGAAGCAAUUGAGUUUUGUUCAGAAUACCUCAAUGACGUUGAUCCUAUUGGAGUUCCUCAAUCAAUUCGAGACCCAAAAGCAAAUGUUUCUGGCUUGCAAGCAUGCAACACACCAAUUAUAGUGCAACAAGUUGAUCUGCAACAAGCACAUUUGACUGUGCUAGAAAAUAUGGAGGAAGUAUCUCCCUAUAUAAUUGAGCAUAAAACCUUUUUGAAAUCAAUGUUUCCCAAAAAAGAGAAAGAUGAAAGGUGGAUACAAGAUGCUCACAACAAGAGGUUUAUUGAUUGGUUUCGUACAAAGGUGGCUGCUGAAAUUGACAGUUGCAAUGGUGGAACAACAUCGACAUUAACAUGACAAUACUAGAUGGGUCGUAAAAAACAAGGAGUAGCAGUUGAGGAGAUACAUGGAAUAGUCGAUGCUGAGCUACAUGGAGUAGCCGAUGCAGAGCUACAUGAAGUUACUGAUAGAGAAGAACGUUCUGUAGAUGUGCAGAAGAACAAACGAGGUCCUACAUCAAUGUGUAAACUCACUGCAGCUACAAGAUGGGUAAAAAAAGUGAAGAUUGAUUAUGAUGACAUGGGGUGGCCAUUAUACAAUACAAAUGGAAAGGCAUUGCAAUCAUACAUUGGCUCUGUUGCUAGAACCAUGGUGUCAAUCAACAUAAAGUCUUGGCCUAGUGUUCCAGAAAAUAUAAAACAAAAAUUGUGGGAAGAGAUCUCGAAUGUGUUUGAAUUAGCACCACAAAGUGAAUCUGCUGUGAUGAAUUCAGCAUCUCAAAAGUGACGAGAUUUCAAAAACAAACUCACUAGCAGAUU